rnacentral:rRNA from 1 species
UUAAAUUGAAGAGUUUGAUCAUGGCUCAGAUUGAACGCUGGCGGCAGGCCUAACACAUGCAAGUCGAGCGGCAGCGGGAAAGUAGCUUGCUACUUUUGCCGGCGAG